rnacentral:rRNA from 1 species
GGUAGUAGCAAAUAUUCAAAUGAGAACUUUGAAGGCUGAACAGGAGAAAGGUUCCAUGUGAACGGCACUUGCACAUGGGUAAGCCGAUCCUAAGGGACGGGGUAACCCCGGCAGACAGCGCGAUUACACGCAUCCCCCGAAAGGUAAUCGAGUUAAGAUUUCCCGAGCCGGGAUGUGGCGGUUGACGGCGCCGUUAGGAAGUCCGGAGACGCCGGCGGGGGCCUUGAGAAGAGUUAUCUUUUCUGCUUAACGGCCUGCCAACCCUGGAAAUGGUUCAGCCGGAGGUAGAGUCCAGUGGCCAGAAGAGCACCGCACGUUGCGCGGUGUCCGGUGCGCCCCCGACAGCCCAUGAAAAUCCGGAGGACCGAGUACCGUUCACGCUCGGCCGUACUCAUAAGCGCAUCAGGUCUCCAAGGUGAACAGCCUCUGGCC